rnacentral:lncRNA from 1 species
UCGCGACAGGUCUCUUUUGUCUUCCCGUUUGUACAGCUCUUGGACAUCCACAUCUCCCCUUUGGGAAGGCUCCUGGCACCUCACAUCUCUCCCGUGGGACAGCUCUUGGUCUUCCUCCACUUCCCAUUGGGACACAUCUUGGUAUUUCUCAUCUUCCCACUGCUCCAGCUCUUGGACAUUCUCAUUUCCCCACUGCGAAGGCUCCUGAUAUUUCUCAUCUUCCCACUGCUCCAGCUCUUGGACAUUCUCAUUUCCCCACUGCGAAGGCUCCUGAUAUUUCUCAUCUUCCCACUGCUCCAGCUCUUGGACAUUCUCAUUUCCCCACUGCGAAGGCUCCUGAUAUUUCUCAUCUUCCCACUGCUCCAGCUCUUGGACAUUCUCAUUUCCCCACUGCGAAGGCUCCUGAUAUUUCUCGUCUUCCCACUGCUCCAGCUCUUGGACACUCUCAUUUCCCCACUGGGGCAGUUCCUGGCCCAUGUAGGGCUCCCACUCUCUCUCCUCCCUGGCCAAGUCCCACCCCACAGUCUGUGGCCCUGGCAGCUCUGUCCCCCCCACUGCCCCCUCCCACUGCUCCCCGAGGGCUUCCAGCCACCCAGGGCAGAGGCUGCGGGGGCAGCAGGGGCAGUGCAGGGCACGGCCCUGGCUCUGUGCCUCGGCUGGGGGGGAAGGAGGCGACUGCCUUGGCACAGCCACCAGCCCAGCCCUGGCCCCAAGGGAGCUGCCUCUGGCCCCAUCCCAGCUCCGUCUUUCCCCUCUCCCUCCGGGGCUGGCCAUCACCUGCGGCCUCAUCCACAGGCCUGGCUACUCCAUGGCAGGGGGGGAGUUGGGGUUCACCUCCUCUCUGAGCAUCUCCAUCACGCACUGCCACAGAGGCUCUCAGGGGAGCUGCUUCCUCGUGGCAGAGCGGCUCUCCUGGGACUGGGCACCCCAGGGCUGGGCUCUGUGCCCCUUAGAUACCCCUCUGGCAGGGCAGGGCUGUGUCAUGUCACAAUGGCCUCUGGGCACCACCAUGUCCCGCAUCACCAAGGGCCCUGA